GUUUGAUCAUGGCUCAGAUUGAACGCUGGCGGCAGGCCUAACACAUGCAAGUCGAACGGUAGCACAGAGAGCUUGCUCUCGGGUGACGAGUGGCGGACGGGUGAGUAAUGUCUGGGAAACUGCCUGAUGGAGGGGGAUAACUACUGGAAACGGUAGCUAAUACCGCAUAACGUCGCAAGACCAAAGAGGGGGACCUUCGGGCCUCUUGCCAUCAGAUGUGCCCAGAUGGGAUUAGCUAGUAGGUGGGGUAAUGGCUCACCUAGGCGACGAUCCCUAGCUGGUCUGAGAGGAUGACCAGCCACACUGGAACUGAGACACGGUCCAGACUCCUACGGGAGGCAGCAGUGGGGAAUAUUGCACAAUGGGCGCAAGCCUGAUGCAGCCAUGCCGCGUGUAUGAAGAAGGCCUUCGGGUUGUAAAGUACUUUCAGCGGGGAGGAAGGUGUUGUGGUUAAUAACCACAGCAAUUGACGUUACCCGCAGAAGAAGCACCGGCUAACUCCGUGCCAGCAGCCGCGGUAAUACGGAGGGUGCAAGCGUUAAUCGGAAUUACUGG
rnacentral:rRNA from 1 species